ensembl:lncRNA
CUGUUGAAACUUCCCAUGUUGAGGACUCGGAUGGAAAUAGUUCACGAAAAAUUAUACCACCAAGAAGAUUUAGAGGUAUAAAAUCUGUGCUGACACUGUAAAUAAGGUAAAGUUUUCACACCGAAAGACAAUUGCAGUUGUAACUUUUGUUUCUUGCAGAAGAAGAACUUCGGGCGCCCAUACCUAGAAAGACACCACAGACAAAACACUUUCUUGAGGAAAGUGAAUCAUCCCAAGAUGAGAUUUUCAGUUUGAAAGCAAAGAAAAUUAACAAACGGCCAAGAUCAACAGCAAUUGCAUCUACGU